rnacentral:rRNA from 1 species
UACGAGGGGGGCAAAUGUUGUUCGGAAUCACUGGGCGUAAAGGGAGCGUAGGUGGGUUCUUAAGUUAGGUGUUUAAUCCCGGGGCCCAACCCCGGACCGGCACUUAAAACUGGGAAUCUUGAAUAGUGGAGAGGUCGGUGGAAUUGGAGGUGUAGCGGUGGAAUGCGUAGAGAUCUCCAAGAACACCAGUUGCGAAGGCGGCCGACUGGACACAUAUUGACGCUGAGGCUCGAAAGCAUGGGGAGCAAACAGG